rnacentral:sRNA from 1 species
AUCAUAAUAGAGUCGUAGCUCAUUAGUCUCUAUUCUUUUGAUUUCUAUGUUUUAAAUACAAACUUUCUACUCAAACGAUGCACUUGUUGUACAAAAGUUUUUCGAAUAAAUUUUAAAUUUUAUUAAAAAAA